AGGAGGCAGCAGUGAGGAAUCUUGCACAAUGGGGGCAACCCUGAUGCAGCGACGCCGCGUGAGCGAUGAAGCCCUUCGGGGUGUAAAGCUCUUUCGGCAGGGACGAAUCAUGACGGUACCUGCAGAAGCAGCUGCGGCUAACUACGUGCCAGCAGCCGCGGUAAUACGUAGGCAGCAAGCGUUGUUCGGAGUUACUGGGCGUAAAGGGUGCGUAGGCGGUUCCUUAAGUUUGGUGUGAAAUCUCCCGGCUCAACUGGGAGGGUGCGCCGGAUACUGAGGGACUUGGAGUGCGGGAAGGGAGAGUGGAAUUCCUGGUGUAGCGGUGAAAUGCGUAGAUAUCAGGAGGAACACCGGUGGUGUAAACGGCUCUCUGGACCGUAACUGACGCUGAGGCACGAAAGCGUGGGUAGCAAACAGGAUUAGAUACCCUAGUAU
rnacentral:rRNA from 1 species